GGAGGGUGCAAGCGUUAUCCGGAUUUAUUAGGUUUAAAGGGUUCGCAGGCGGAAUUUUAAGUCAGUGGUGAAAGCCUAUAGCUCAACUAUAGAACUGCCAUUGAUACUGAUAUUCUUGAGUAUAGAUGAAGUGGGCGGAAUAUGUCAUGUAGCGGUGAAAUGCAUAGAUAUGACAUGGAACACCAAUUGCGAAGGCAGCUCACUAAACUAUUACUGACGCUCAUGAACGAAAGCAUGGGGAGCGAACAGGAUUAGAUACCCUGGUAGUCCAUGCCGUAAACUAUGAUCACUAGAUGUUGGCGAUAUAUUGUCAGUGUUUUAGAGAAAUCGAUAAGUGAUCCACCUGGGGAGUACGUUCGCAAGAAUGAAACUCAAAGGAAUUGACGGGGGCCCGCACAAGCGGUGGAGCAUGUGGUUUAAUUCGAUGAUACGCGAGGAACCUUACCAAGGCUUAAAUGUAAAACGACCGAUUGAGAAAUCAAUCUUUUUUCGAACGAUUUACAAGGUGCUGCAUGGUUGUCGUCAGCUCGUGCCGUGAGGUGUCGGGUUAAGUCCCAUAACGAGCGCAACCCCUAUUUUUAGUUGCCAGCGAGUAAUGUCGGGAACUCUAGAAAGACUGCCUGUGUAAACAGUGAGGAAGGUGGGGAUGACGUCAAAUCAUCACGGCCCUUAUGUCUUGGGCUACACACGUGCUACAAUGGUUACUACAGUGGGCUGCCAUCUGGCAACAGAGAGCAAAUCCAUAAAGGUAAUCCCAGUUCGGAUCGGAGUCUGCAACUCGACUCUGUGAAGUUGGAAUCGCUAGUAAUCGUAUAUCAGCAAUGAUACGGUGAAUACGUUCCCGGGCCUU
rnacentral:rRNA from 1 species